AGCGUAUAUUAAAGUUGUUGCAGUUAAAAAGCUCGUAGUUGAAUUUCGGGAUUAGUACGCUGGUCGUGCCUUCGGUACGUACUGGUGUUACUGAUUUCUACCUUCUGACGAACCAUCAUGUCAUUAAUUUGGUGUGGUGGGGAAUCAGGACUGUUACUUUGAAAAAAUUAGAGUGUUUAAAGCAGGCUCGCGCUUGAAUACAUUAGCAUGGAAUAAUGAAAUAGGACGUUGAUCCUAUUUUGUUGGUUUCUAGGAUUGACGUAAUGAUUAAUAGGGAUAGUUGGGGGCAUUAGUAUUCAAUUGUCAGAGGUGAAAUUCUUGGAUUUAUUGAAGACUAACUACUGCGAAAGCAUUUGCCAAGGAUGUUUUCAUUAAUCAAGAACGAAAGUAAGGGGAUCGAAGACGAUCAGAUACCGUCGUAGUCUUAACCAUAAACUAUGCCGACUAGGGAUCGGAUGAUGUUAUUUUUAAUGACUCAUUC
rnacentral:rRNA from 1 species